UUUCCGCUGUUGAUUCCAGUGUGUCAUGGGAACAUCUGAAGUGCCAAAUACUGACGAAGUACAGCGACCUCCAUUCAUCAAUUCCAAGUGAAAUUUGUCGGGCCUUAAUCAUAAUCAAAGAAAAGAAUCCGUCACGAGGAGCCAAGCGUUCGCACCAAGGUACACUGAAGAUAUCCAAUCUGUUGGAGAAGAUCGUUGAAUGGAUUAGUCCAGAAGACGACAUCGAAGCAUAUGUCAAUACUCACAGUGCAACGGCUCUUCCAAUAUUAAUCGUCAAAGGACAGCAGUACUCCGAGGGUGACACCUACAUUCGUGUUGGAAAGCGAUAUUUUAGCUCAGGAUCCGACAUAACAAAAGCGUUUUUUACGCUGAUUAAGACCUACUUUUUUUUCAACAUAAAUUUCGAGCCGUCGUUCAUCAACUUCUUUACACUUUUCGUUGGAGGUGUGUUUAAAAUUCGAAACUCAUCAACCACAGUUGAAAAUUUUUUGAUUCAGUUACGGCCAACAUAAACUUGAUAUACACAUUCCAUUGAAAUGUAUAUAGUGUUGUAACCUAUAACAAUGAUAUAUAUAUAUACUUAUAAGAAUAUAUACGAGUAAUAAAAUAAUUACUGAUAA